GGAGACAGAGAGAGAGAGAGAGAGGCGUCUCUAGUUGUUACGCAAGUCCCUGGUAACCCUAGAGAGAGGGAAUAGAGAUACGGAAUACAGAGAGGUGACGAGGGGGUUUAUAUAUGCGGGGAGUAAGCAGAGUAACAGGAAGACAUGGGGACGUGGAGGGGUAUGAGCUAUCUGAUUUAGUGAGGGCAUUGAAAAGACGAAAAAGGGUAUGAGAUAAGAUGGCAAUGUGUGUCCGCCAGAGAGAGAGAGAGAGGCGUCCUCUGUUGUUACGCAAGUCCCUGGUAACCCUAGAGAGAGUGAAUAGAGAUACGGAAUACAGAGAGGUGACGAGGGGGUUUAUAUAUGCGGGGAGUAGCAGAGUAACAAGGAAGACGAUGGGGACGUGGAGGGGUAUGAGCUAUCUGAUUUAGUGAGGGCAUUUGAAAAGACGAAAAAGGGUAGAGAGAGAAGAUGGCAAUGUGUGUCCGCAGAGAGAGAGAGAGAGAGAGAGAGAGAGAGAGAGAGACAGAGAGAGGGAGACUGGUGGUGGUGGUCAUCGUGAGACAGACGGCAGAGUCAGCAACUG
rnacentral:lncRNA from 1 species